UUACAGAUAGACAGAGGCAUACUCCAACACUCAGACAUCAUUUACAAAUGAAGCAUGUGUGUUUAGCGAGUCUACCAGAUCAGAGCCAGUAGGGAUGACCAGGGAUGUUCUCUUGAUAAGUACGUGAAUUUCACAAUUUUCCUAGUAUUUUUGGGUGUCAGGGAAAAUGUAUGGCGUAAAAAGUACAUUAUUUUAUUGAGGAAUGUAGUGAAGUAAAAGUUGUCAAAAUAUUACAGUAAAGUAGAGAUACCAAAAAAUAAACUACUAAAGUAGUACUUUAAAGUAUUUGUACUUAAGUACUUUACACCACUGAAGGAGAGAGACGGGAGAGGGACUUCCCUUAAUUGGAGUGACAGGUGUGACUGAGGGCUAGUGCUGUUCAUUAGGGUUCAUUCAGGUGCUUUGUGUUGUGUCUGGGCCCCUACCAUCACACAACCUUUUAAUAAGAACCAUCACACAUCUAUCCCAAUGUUGUCAGUUAGAGAAAGCUCACAGUAGACAGUGUUGUUAGUUAAAGAGAGAAAGCUCACAGUAGACAGUGUUGUCAGUAAAGAGAGAAAGCUCACAGUAGACAGUGUUGUUAGUUAAAGAGAGAAAGCUCACAGUAGACAGUGUUGUCAGUUAAAGAGAGAAAGCUCACAGUAGACAGUGUUGUCAGUUAGAGAGAGAAAGCUCACAGUAGACAGUGUUGUCAGUUAGAGAGAGAAAGCUCACAGUAGACAGUGUUGUCAGUUAGAGAGAGAAAGCUCACAGUAGACAGUGUUGUCAGUUAAAGAGAGAAAGCUCACAGUAGACAGUGUUGUCAGUUAGAGAGAGAAAGCUCACAGUAGACAGUGUUGUCAGUUAGAGAAAGCUCACAGUAGACAGUGUUGUCAGUUAAAGAAAGAAAGCUCACAGUAGACAGUGUUGUUAGUUAAAGAGAGAAAGCUCACAGUACACAGUGUUGUCAGUUAGAUAGAAAGCUCACAGUACACAGUGUUGUCAGUUAGAUAGAAAGCUCACAGUAGAUAUUUUUGUGAGGUAAUUAGAGCAGGUGAGAAUUAAGGCGUAAGGAUGUUUCAGUUCGGCGGGCGCCUAGCCGAUGUCGAACUGAGAGGAGACAUUACUGUGUGCUGACAGGAGACAUUACUGAGAGGAGACAUUACUGAGAGGAGACAUUACUGAGAGCUGAGAGGAGAGACAUUACUGAGAGGAGACAUUACUGAGAGGAGACAUUACUGAAAGGAGACAUUACUGUGUGCUGAGAGGAGAGACAUUACUGAGAGGAGACAUUACUGAGAGGAGACAUUACUGAGAGGAGACAUUACUGAAAGGAGACAUUACUGUGUGAUGAGAGGAGACAUUACUGUGUGCUGAGAGGAGACAUUACUGAGAGGAGACAUUACUGAGAGGAGACAUUACUGAGAGCUGAGAGGAGACAUUACUGAGAGCUGAGAGGAGACAUUACUGAGAGCUGAGAGGAGAGACAUUACUGAGAGGAGACAUUACUGAGAGGAGACAUUACUGAGAGGAGACAUUACUGAAAGGAGACAUUACUGUGUGCUGAGAGGAGAGACAUUACUGAGAGGAGACAUUACUGAGAGGAGACAUUACUGAGAGGAGACAUUACUGAAAGGAGACAUUACUGUGUGCUGAGAGGAGACAUUACUGUGUGCUGAGAGGAGACAUUACUGAGAGGAGACAUUACUGAGAGGAGACAUUACUGAGAGCUGAGAGGAGAGAAAUUACUGAGAGCUGAGAGGAGACAUUACUGAGAGCUGAGAGGAGAGACAUUACUGAGAGGAGACAUUACUGAGAGGAGACAUUACUGAGAGGAGACAUUACUGAAAGGAGACAUUACUGUGUGCUGAGAGGAGACAUUACUGUGUGCUGAGAGGAGACAUUACUGAGAGGAGACAUUACUGAGAGGAGACAUUACUGAGAGCUGAGAGGAGAGAAAUUACUGAGAGCUGAGAGGAGACAUUACUGAGAGCUGAGAGGAGACAUUACUGAGAGCUGAGAGGAGACAUUACUGAGAGGAGACAUUACUGAGAGCUGAGAGGAGACAUUACUGAGAGCUGAGAGGAGACAUUACUGAGAGCUGAGAGGAGACAUUACUGAGAGCUGAGAGGAGACAUUACUGAGAGGAGACAUUACUGUGUGCUGAGAGGAGACAUUACUGUGUGCUGAGAGGAGACAUUACUGUGUGCUGAGAGGAGACAUUACUGUGUGCUGAGAGGAGACAUUACUGUGUGCUGAGAGGAGACAUUAUAUAGAAUAUCAUUCCUAUCAGAGAGAAAGAGAAUAUCCACUGUCGUAGGAGUGUGAGUGUGUGUGUGUGUGUGUGUGUGAGGCGGUCUGUGCUCCGUGCACCAGGUCUGGUCUGUGCAGGUCCAGGUGUGCUGUUGACGUUUUAAUCAGGACUGAAUCAGCUAGAGAGAGGUUUCCCAGAGCUACCUCUGCUACAGUUACUGAACACACACACACACACACACACACACAAACAGUGACAGCGUAAAUCAAAUGUCCUAACGUGACUUACCACGCAACCACACUGCACCCUGUGGCCUCAAUGACAUCAGUCCAUAACCAAUAUCCAAUGGGUCAGAAAUGACUCCCCCUCCACAACCCCCCCCUGAAUACCAGAGGUCCGGUCACAUCAAACCUGUCAUCCCAACAUGACCUGGAAUCAGUCCAGACUAGACCAC
ensembl:lncRNA